UACCAGCACCCCGAGUGGUCGGGACGUUUAUUGGGCCUAAAGCAUCCGUAGCCGGUUCUACAAGUCUUCCGUUAAAUCCAUCUGCUUAACAGAUGGGCUGCGGAAGAUACUAUAGAGCUAGGAGGCGGGAGAGGCAAGCGGUACUUAGUGGGUAGGGGUAAAAUCCGUUGAUCCACUGAAGACCACCAGUGGCGAAGGCGGCUUGCCAGAACGCGCUCGACGGUGAGGGAUGAAAGCUGGGGGAGCAAACCGG
rnacentral:rRNA from 1 species